UGUAUGUACAUGUAAGGCCAAAGGUUAAUCUGUAUGUACAUGUAAGGCCAAAUGAAAAUCUGUAUGCACAUGUAAGGCCAAAGGUUAAUCUGUAUGUACAUGUAAGGCCAAAGGUUAAUCUGUAUGUACAUGUAAGGCCAAAGGUAAAUCUGUAUGUACAUGCAAGGCCAAAGGUUAAUCUGUAUGUACAUGUAAGGCCAAAGGUUAAUCUGUAUGUACAUGUAAGGCCAAAGGUUAAUCUGUAUGUACAUGUAAGGCCAAAGGUUAAUCUGUAUGUACAUGUAAGGCCAAAGGUUAAUCUGUAUGUACAUGUAAGGCCAAAGGUUAAUCUGUUAGUACAUGUAAGGCCAAAGGUUAAUCUGUAUGUACAUGUAAGGCCAAAGGGUAAUCUAUAUGUUCAUGUAAGGUCUUCAAGUUUGUGCUUGGAUGGGCAAGAGGGUUAAUGAUUAAGCUGAUUAAACAAUAUAAAGAAAAGACUGAAUAUAUUUGUUUAAGCUCCUUCACUCAUUUGAAGGCAUUCAACAUAAGAUCAG